rnacentral:misc_RNA from 1 species
GUCCAAUUCGAUCCUUUGCCCAAUUAAUAAUGUUAUUGCCUUGUUUAUCGAUGGGUCUUCUACCAGUAAUUAAUUCUAAGAGUACAACUCCAAAGGAAUAAACAUCUGAUUUCUCUGAUAUUUUUUGAAUAUUAUCAUAUUCUGGAUCUGCAUAAACAUUAGUUCCCCUCAAUAGACUGGUGAUGUGGGUAACACGAUCAACAUUCGGAAACAAAGCUGCAAGCAUAAAAUCUGCCACCUUUGGUUCAAAGUCAU